CUACGGGAGGCAGCAGUGGGGAAUCUUGCGCAAUGGGCGAAAGCCUGACGCAGCAAUGCCGCGUGAGGGAAGAAGGUCUUAGGAUUGUAAACCUCUUUCAGCAGGGACGAAAACAGACGGUACCUGCAGAAGAAGCCCCGGCUAACUACGUGCCAGCAGCCGCGGUAAUACGUAGGGGGCGAGCGUUGUCCGGAAUCAUUGGGCGUAAAGAGCGUGUAGGCGGACUAGAAGGUCUGGUGUGAAAGCCCGGGGCUCAACCCCGGAGGGUCACUGGAAACCCCUAGUCUUGAAUCUGGAAGAGGAGAGUGGAAUUCCUGGUGUAGCGGUGGAAUGCGCAGAUAUCAGGAGGAACACCAAUGGCGAAGGCAGCUCUCUGGUACAUGAUUGACGCUGAGACGCGAAAGCGUGGGGAGCGAACAGGAUUAGAAACCCGGGUAGUCC
rnacentral:rRNA from 1 species